AAAGGAAUUGACGGGGACCCGCACAAGCGGUGGAGCAUGUGGUUUAAUUCGAAGCAACGCGAAGAACCUUACCAGGUCUUGACAUCCCUCUGACGUAACCGUAACAGGUUAUUCCCUCCGGGGCAGAGGAGACAGGUGGUGCAUGGUUGUCGUCAGCUCGUGUCGUGAGAUGUUGGGUUAAGUCCCGCAACGAGCGCAACCCUUAUUCUUAGUAGCCAGCAGGUAAAGCUGGGCACUCUAGGGAGACUGCCAGGGAUAACCUGGAGGAAGGCGGGGAUGACGUCAAAUCAUCAUGCCCCUUAUGAUCUGGGCUACACACGUGCUACAAUGGUGGCGACAAAGGGAAGCGAACCUGUGAGGGGGAGCGAAUCCGAAAAAAGCCAUCCCAGUUCGGAUUGCAGUCUGCAACUCGACUGCAUGAAGCCGGAAUCGCUAGUAAUCGCGAAUCAGCAUGUCGCGGUGAAUACGUUCCCGGGUCUUGUACACACCGCCCGU
rnacentral:rRNA from 1 species